UCCGGUUUAACACCGGCAGUCUCCAUAGAGUGCCCAACUAAAUGAUGGCAACUAGGGAUAAGGGUUGCGCUCGUUAAGGGACUUAACCCGACAUCUCACGAUACGAGCUGACGACAGCCAUGCAGCACCUGUCUCUCUGUGUAUUGCUACAACACCCUAUCUCUAGGGCUGUCAGAGGAUGUCAAAUCCAGGUAAGGUUCUUCGCGUUGCAUCGAAUUAAACCACAUGCUCCACCGCUUGUGCGGGCCCCCGUCAAUUCCUUUGAGUUUUAGCCUUGCGGCCGUACUCCCCAGGCGGAGUGCUUAACGCGUUAACUACGGCACCGCAGGGGUCAAUACCCGCAGCACCUAGCACUCAUCGUUUACGGCGUGGACUAC
rnacentral:misc_RNA from 1 species